GCAAACUUCAGCUCAAGUUUAAAGCUAGGGACGGAGUUGGAGUCUCUCUGCUCGACGUUGCCCGAAAUGGUACCAGCCCACUUUCCCCGAAAUUGGAUCCCACCUACACUGUUAUCUUCGUAACAAGUAGCUGCAUUAUACUACGUGACGACAAAACGGCGUACAGUGAAAAACCCAUUUUUUUCAUGUGGCAAUUACAAGAUAACUGGGAUGAGGACUAUCUGGACUGUUUAAGCGUUUACGACUUCAUAUCCAAGCGGCAUGGUUUUGAUUCUCGGUCGGAAUGCGGCGAUUGCUGCGACAGCAUGCCUCAAGUAAUGCACCGGGUGCCACCCGGAUGUGGCUUAGACCUAAGUGACAUUAUUUUACCGUGACUCAGGAAUACAACUCAUGAUGGAAUGCUAUAGAGCACAGGGUUUAUGGUUUUCCGAGGCACACCCAAAAAGCCGACUGAAAUGAAUGAACGUUUUUCGAAUUGUUCUCAUUCAAAUGCGAUCACAUUAACCAGCGCGACGACACUGUAGUGAAUAAAG